GAGGAAUUCAAAAACUUUCUAUCUUGGUUAAACAGGCCAACCAAUAAAACUGACAGAGAUCACUGUGAGAAUUUAUAUAUAUAUCUAAACACAUAUAUAUAUAG